GAAAGGUGUUUUGGGGAAGCCAUCUCUGC
rnacentral:piRNA from 1 species